rnacentral:rRNA from 1 species
UACGGGGGGGAGCAAGCGUUGUUCGGAUUUACUGGGCGUAAAGGGCGCGUAGGCGGCGCAACAAGUCACUUGUGAAAUCUCCGGGCUUAACCCGGAGCGGUCAAGUGAUACUGUCGUGCUAGAGUGCGGAAGGGGCUACUGGAAUUCUCGGUGUAGCGGUGAAAUGCGUAGAUAUCGAGAGGAACACCUGCGGCGAAGGCGGGUUGCUGGGCUGACACUGACGCUGAGGCGCGAAAGCGUGGGGAGCAAACAGG